rnacentral:rRNA from 1 species
UCCAGAGGUCCCAAUCGUUACCGAGAUUCACUGGGUUUAAAGGGUGCGUAGGUGGUGCGUUAAGUCAGUUGUGAAAUCCCCGGGCUCAACCCGGGAAUAGCUUCUGAUACUGGCGUGCUUGAGGCCGGUAUAGGUUACUGGAACGGACGGUGGAGCGGUGAAAUGCGUAGAUAUCGUCUGGAACGCCAGUGGUGAAGACGGGUAACUAGGCCGGUUCUGACACUGAGGCACGAAAGCGUGGGGAGCGAACGGG